GAUGAAGAACGCAGCGAAAUGCGAUAAGUAGUGUGAAUUGCAGAAUUCAGUGAAUCAUCGAAUCUUUGAACGCACAUUGCGCCCCUUGGUAUUCCAUGGGGCAUGCCUGUUCGAGCGUCAUUUGUACCUUCAAGCUCUGCUUGGUGUUGGGUGUUUGUCUCGCCUCUGCGUGUAGACUCGCCUUAAAACAAUUGGCAGCCGGCGUAUUGAUUUCGGAGCGCAGUACAUCUCGCGCUUUGCACUCAUAACGACGACGUCCAAAAGUACAUUUUUACACUCUUGACCUCGGAUCAGGUAGGGAUACCCGCUGAACUUAAGCAUAUCAAUAAGCGGAGGA
rnacentral:misc_RNA from 1 species